UACGGAGGGGGCUAGCGUUAUUCGGAAUUACUGGGCGUAAAGCGCACGUAGGCGGCUUUGUAAGUAAGAGGUGAAAGCCCGGAGCUCAACUCCGGAACUGCCUUUUUAGACUGCAUCGCUUGAAUCCAGGAGAGGUGAGUGGAAUUCCGAGUGUAGAGGUGAAAUUCGUAGAUAUUCGGAAGAACACCAGUGGCGGAAGGCGGCUCACUGGAC
rnacentral:rRNA from 1 species